rnacentral:rRNA from 1 species
GUCGCAAGACCAAAGUGGGGGACCUUCGGGCCUCAUGCCAUCAGAUGUGCCCAGAUGGGAUUAGCUAGUAGGUGGGGUAACGGCUCACCUAGGCGACGAUCCCUAGCUGGUCUGAGAGGAUGACCAGCCACACUGGAACUGAGACACGGUCCAGACUCCUACGGGAGGCAGCAGUGGGGAAUAUUGCACAAUGGGCGCAAGCCUGAUGCAGCCAUGCCGCGUGUGUGAAGAAGGCCUUCGGGUUGUAAAGCACUUUCAGCGGGGAGGAAGGCGUUAAGGUUAAUAACCUUGGCGAUUGACGUUACCCGCAGAAGAAGCACCGGCUAACUCCGUGCCAGCAGCCGCGGUAAUACGGAGGGUGCAAGCGUUAAUCGGAAUUACUGGGCGUAAAGCGCACGCAGGCGGUCUGUCAAGUCGGAUGUGAAAUCCCCGGGCUCAACCUGGGAACUGCAUUCGAAACUGGCAGGCUAGAGUCUUGUAGAGGGGGGUAGAAUUCCAGGUGUAGCGGUGAAAUGCGUAGAGAUCUGGAGGAAUACCGGUGGCGAAGGCGGCCCCCUGGACAAAGACUGACGCUCAGGUGCGAAAGCGUGGGGAGCAAACAGGAUUAGAUACCCUGGUAGUCCACGCCGUAAACGAUGUCGAUUUGGAGGUUGUGCCCUUGAGGCGUGGCUUCCGGAGCUAACGCGUUAAAUCGACCGCCUGGGGAGUACGGCCGCAAGGUUAAAACUCAAAUGAAUUGACGGGGGCCCGCACAAGCGGUGGAGCAUGUGGUUUAAUUCGAUGCAACGCGAAGAACCUUACCUGGUCUUGACAUCCACAGAACUUUCCAGAGAUGGAUUGGUGCCUUCGGGAACUGUGAGACAGGUGCUGCAUGGCUGUCGUCAGCUCGUGUUGUGAAAUGUUGGGUUAAGUCCCGCAACGAGCGCAACCCUUAUCCUUUGUUGCCAGCGGUU